rnacentral:rRNA from 1 species
AGAGUUUGAUCCUGGCUCAGGAUGAACGCUAGCUACAGGCUUAACACAUGCAAGUCGAGGGGCAGCAUGGUCUUAGCUUGCUAAGGCCGAUGGCGACCGACGCACGGGUGAGUAACACGUAUCCAACCUGCCAUCUACUCUUGGACAGCCUUCUGAAAGGAAGAUUAAUACAAGAUGGCAUCAUGAGUUCACAUGUUCACAUGAUUAAAGGUAUUCCGGCAGACGUUGGGG